AUGGAGAGCAGCAGGGCAGCGAGCUAUUCGCCACCAGCUGCAGGUUUGCCCCCUUGGACCACACAAAGGACACCGCUGUUUAUCUGUGCCUUCAGGCCAGGGAGCCGGAACCGAGGAAGAUCCAUGAGGAGGCGAUGGUACGCAGCUCUCCUGAUUCAUGUUGUUGCCUGCACGCACCUCUCGGCCGGCCAGCCGGAGCGGCGACGUAGCGCGCCGUGGUAUCUCGGGUGGAGGCUGGAGGGCAGUAUCAGGAGAGAUGGGUCUAUUGGUGAGGAGCGGUUUGGGCACAGCCGUGACAUGAGAGACCCACGCCACGGGGGGCUUUUUAUACGCACAUAG
rnacentral:rRNA from 1 species